GAAAUGCGAUACGUAAUGUGAAUUGCAGAAUUCAGUGAAUCAUCGAGUCUUUGAACGCACAUUGCGCCCCCUGGUAUUCCGGGGGGGCAUGCCUGUCCGAGCGUCAUUGUUGCCCUCAAGCACGGCUUGUGUGUUGGGCCCCCGUCCCCCCCCCAAGGGGACGGGCCCGAAAGGCAGCGGCGGCACCGUGUCCGGUCCUCGAGCGUAUGGGAAGCAACUUUUUGUCACCCGCUCCUGUAGGUCCGGCCGGCGGCCUGCCCAACCCCAACCUUUUUUUCAACCAGGUUGACCUCGGAUCAGGUAGGGAUACCCGCUGAACUUAAGC
rnacentral:misc_RNA from 1 species